rnacentral:rRNA from 1 species
CACCGCCGCGGUAAUACAGAGGGUGCGAGCGUUAAUCGGAUUUACUGGGCGUAAAGCGUGCGUAGGCGGCUUCUUAAGUCGGAUGUGAAAUCCCUGAGCUUAACUUAGGAAUUGCAUUCGAUACUGGGAAGCUAGAGUAUGGGAGAGGAUGGUAGAAUUCCAGGUGUAGCGGUGAAAUGCGUAGAGAUCUGGAGGAAUACCGAUGGCGAAGGCAGCCAUCUGGCCUAAUACUGACGCUGAGGUACGAAAGCAUGGGGAGCAAACAGGAUUAGAUACCCCCGUAGUCCCUGUCUCUUAUACU